UACGUAGGCAGCGAGCGUUGUUCGGAGUUACUGGGCGUAAAGGGUGUGUAGGCGGUUUUCUAAGUUUGGUGUGAAUCUCCCGGCCUCAACCGGGAGGGUGCGCCGAAACUGGGAGACUGAGAGUGCGGGAUGGGAGAGGUAGAAUUCCGUGGUGGUAGCGGUGAAAUGCGUAGAUAUCAGGAGGAAUACCGGUGGCGAAGGCGGUUCUCUGGGCAUUACCUGACGCUGAGGAGCGAAAGUGUGGGGAGCGAACAGG
rnacentral:rRNA from 1 species